ensembl:lncRNA
ACACUAAAAUGAAAAGAAGCUAAACGUAGGCAGUUGUUCUUAAAAUCACAUUGAGUCAAAGCUGCCUCGGGAUAUGGGAAUCGCUCCUCUGUCAAACUUUCAUUAGCUGAUGUGAGUGCAUACAGUGACGAAGGCAGGAUUUUGUUUAGCGUUGUUUAUUUCCCCUUUUCAUCACUGCUGCUUUCAUUCUAAGGCUGGUGUAAAUUCAUUCACACUGAUCUGAUGAGUCAGACAUGGGAUUCACACCGAGGUGGCUGUAGCGUGCAGCGGGGCGGAGCAGGCGGCUGAGAUUAACUCAUUCUUUCGCCUCCUCUUUAUCUCUCACUUUCCUAUUUGCUGGAAGUGAUUGUUUCUGUGUGAAUUAUCCUCAUACUCGUUUAAUAGCAUGGAAAUUGAUUAAGCAAUUAGCGGCGAGCCACUGUAUUUAGAUCAAAGCAGAUCAUCGCAUUAAGUUGGGAGAGAUUAAUACUGCCCAGGGCCUCACUGGAAAUAACAGCUGCAGUAAUGGCAUCACGGUAACGCUCCAGCUCCUGACUGCAGGACUCAUUUGCCUUUUUAACUCCAAACCUUUUUUUUUUUUUAGUUUUAUUGCCGUUUUUAUAACUUAUGGAACAGAUUAUGUGCAGGAAACAACUCAGAUGGCUUGUAACGUGCUAAACCUCUCUGCUUUAUAGCCAGGGCCAUCCGUUUUAAAGUGCAGGUUGAGUAGAAAUACUGUAUAGCAUCGAUCUAUUCAGAAAGCCUUUAACACAAGGUAAUCGCAUUGAGAGGUGUUCGUUUGAGCUGCUUCACUCGGCGCCGUCACGUUUAUGACACAAAGUUCGAGGUGUCAGCGUGUCCUCAACAUUAUGACACUGCUGGGCUAAACUCACUGUAAACGACUCAUGAGCAGUUUGAACAUAAAGCCUCUAAAGAACUAUCACACCGCAGGACGACCGCACUCUUUAUUAAUGGGGCUUUUUAGUCACUGCGUUCUUGACGAGUCUGUGAGUGACGCAUGCAGCUGUAAUCAAACACACAUCACUUCAUAAAAUCUAGUGUUUGCAUCAAUCGUCAUCUUUGAAUUUUGCA